rnacentral:rRNA from 1 species
AUUGACCGCUGGCGGCAGGCCUAACACAUGCAAGUCGAGCGAGUGGCGGACGGGUGAGUAAUGUCUGGGAAACUGCCUGAUGGAGGGGGAUAACUACUGGAAACGGUAGCUAAUACCGCAUACCAUCAGAUGUUCCCAGAUGGGAUUGGCGUGUUGGUGGGGUAACGGCUCACCAAGGCGACGAUCCCUAGCUGGUCUGAGAGGAUGACCAGCCACCAUGGAACUGAGACACGGUCCAGACCCCUACGGGAGGCAGAAGUGGGGAAUAUUGCACAAUGGGCGCAAGGCUGAUGCAGCCAUGCCGCGUGUAGGAAGAAGGCCUUCGGGUUGUAAAGUACCUUCAGCGGGGAGGCGUUACCCGCAGAAGAAGCACCGGCUAACUCCGUGCCAGCAGCCGCGGUAAUUC